AUUAAAAAUCUUUAUUUCCUACUAUUUUUGAAAGUUGUUAAGUACAUAAUCAAACGUCUAUCCAAAUUUAUCAUCGAGAUGUUAUUUUCUCCAUAUGAAUUAGGUUUUCAUUAACUUUUGUGACGAAUUUUGAACAGAUUCAUCUGAAGAUCGAGGUUUGGGAGCAGCAAAGUGAUGGCAAAUAUAACGGUGUUUUGUCGCUUCAGGCCUUUGAGCUCAAAAGAGAAAAGAGAUAAUGGUGAUAGUGUUUGCAUUCGCAGUAUGGACAGUGAAACUUUCGUUUUCAAGGAUGAGAAGGAAGAAGAAUUUGCCUUUAGUUUUGAUAAGGUGUUUUAUGAGGAAUCUUUGCAAGCCGACGUCUACGAAUUUCUAGCUCUCCCUAUUGUUCGAGGUGCUGUUAAUGCAGUAAAUGGAACGAUCAUCACUUACGGACAGACUGGAGCUGGGAAGACUUAUAGCAUGGAGGGCCCUAGCAUCCUGGAAUUUGAUGACCUGAAGAAAGGAUUACUUCCAAGAGUAGUAGAUGGGCUUUUUGAGUGUAUUAAAUCUGCUGACAAAUCAGACAAGUAUAGAAUCAAGUUGUCAAUGGUAUUGAGACAAAUUCCCUCUAUGUUGGACUCCUCACUAGUGUCGACCAUACAAUAAUUUGUAAAUGUUUUUCUGCCUUCAGGUAGAAAUCUACAUGGAGAAAGUAAGGGAUCUUCUUGAUUUAACGAAGGACAAUAUAUUGAUUAAGGAAAGUAAAGUUCAAGGAAUAUUGUUAUCUGGAGUGACGGAGAUUUGUAUUUCGGACCCAGCAGAUGCUUUACAAAGCUUGUCUAGUGGGAUAGCUAACAGAGCUGUUGGAGAGACUCGUAUCUCUUUAUUUUUUUUUUUAAAUAUCAACUUGUGUUUUCAUUGUUGAUAUCAUUUACCUAAAGAAAAGUAUUCUUUGAAUAUACCAUCAUUUUACCCUGUACUUUUAUUGGCGGUACAGUUGCCAAGUUGCUAUAAGUCUUGAGAAUUAUUUUUUGCAAACUCAACAUGAUAGAAAUGAACAUGGCCAGCAGUAGAAGUCAUUGUAUUUACAUAUUCACGGUUCAGUCAGUGCUGAGUGAUAAGAGGGUGAAAACUGGAAAAUUAAUUCUUGUGGACUUAGCAGGGUCUGAGAAGGUAGAGAAAACUGGAGCUGAAGGGAAAGUUCUUGAAGAAGCCAAGACUAUCAACAAAUCUUUAUCAGUCUUAGGAAAUGUAAUAAAUGCUUUGACAUGUGGUCCAACAACCAAAGCAAGCCACAUCCCCUAUCGCGAUUCCAAACUUACUCGGAUUCUACAAGAUGCUCUUGGAGGGAACUCAAGGACUGCAUUACUAUGUUGUUGCUCUCCAAGCCCUUUAAAUGCAGCAGAAACUCUCUCCACCCUUCGCUUUGGUGCGAGGGCAAAGCAUAUAAAGACAUCACCUUUUGUCAAUCGUGCCCAAGAUAAACUUGCCAAAAAGCAUGAGGAUGUUGCUCCAACCAAAGAUGAAUUGUGUGAGAGAAUUCUAAUUAGGUUGAGGGAGAGACUAGAUGUUGAAGAUGUGGAGUUACUUGAAGAGUUAUUCAUACUGGAGGGAAUAUUAUUUGAUCCUAGUUCAUUCGAAGAUUUGGAAUCAGCCUAUGAAGAUGUUACUUUACGAACAAUUUCCUCAUUGCAGCAGGCUGUAGAAGAGCUUGUGUUUACCAUUGAGGAGCUUAAAAGUGAGAACAGGGCUCUUAAGGCCAGAAUGGAAGCUGCUGAAAGGUUUAAUGCUUUGCACAAGGAAGCUGGAGAAAAUGCAAGUGUUAUGAGAAAGAUUUCAAAUAUUCUAAGCUUCUUCAUCUCAUGGGUCAGAUCAUUCCCUCUGCUUAGCAUGCUGAAAUGAAAUUAUGCUACUCUACAGCAGUGGCUAGUAAGAUUGAAGGGUAUGUUACUUAAUGGUGCUGACCUGUGCAAUUGUCGGGGUUCAAGCACAGGAAGUGGUUAUUACACAGCUUACUAAUUUUGUUAAUAUCAAUAUGAUCACCCUGGGAAGAAGAUAUAAAAUAGAUAUUGCUAUUCCAUCUAAAAUGCACAACUGAUUAGGCCAUGUCUCAG
rnacentral:misc_RNA from 1 species